rnacentral:rRNA from 1 species
ACGGGGACCCGCACAAGCGGUGGAUGAUGUGGAUUAAUUCGAUGCAGCGCGAAAACCUUUGCCUACCCUUGACAUGUCCGGAAUCCCGAAGAGAUUUGGGAGUGCUCGCAAGAGAGCCGGAACACAGGUGCUGCAUGGCUGUCGUCAGCUCGUGUCGUGAGAUGUUGGGUUAAGUCCCGCAACGAGCGCAACCCUUGUCAUUAGUUGCCAUCAUUUGGUUGGGCACUCUAAUGAGACUGCCGGUGACAAACCGGAGGAAGGUGGGGAUGACGUCAAGUCCUCAUGGCCCUUAUGGGUAGGGCUUCACACGUCAUACAAUGGUCGGUACAGAGGGUUGCCAACCCGCGAGGGGGAGCUAAUCCCACAAAGCCGAUCGUAGUCCGGAUCGCAGUCUGCAACUCGACUGCGUGAAGUCGGAAUCGCUAGUAAUCGUGGAUCAGCAUGUCACGGUGAAUACGUUCCCGGGUCUU